rnacentral:tRNA from 5 species
GGGCCGGUAGCUCAGUUGGUUAGAGCGCACCCCUGAUAAGGGUGAGGUCGGAGGUUCGAAUCCUCCUCGGCCCACCA